rnacentral:rRNA from 1 species
CCUACGGGUGGCAGCAGUGGGGAAUAUUGCACAAUGGGCGCAAGCCUGAUGCAGCCAUGCCGCGUGUGUGAAGAAGGCCUUCGGGUUGUAAAGCACUUUCAGCGGGGAGGAAGGCGUUAAGGUUAAUAACCUUGGCGAUUGACGUUACCCGCAGAAGAAGCACCGGCUAACUCCGUGCCAGCAGCCGCGGUAAUACGGAGGGUGCAAGCGUUAAUCGGAAUUACUGGGCGUAAAGCGCACGCAGGCGGUCUGUCAAGUCGGAUGUGAAAUCCCCGGGCUCAACCUGGGAACUGCAUUCGAAACUGGCAGGCUAGAGUCUUGUAGAGGGGGGUAGAAUUCCAGGUGUAGCGGUGAAAUGCGUAGAGAUCUGGAGGAAUACCGGUGGCGAAGGCGGCCCCCUGGACAAAGACUGACGCUCAGGUGCGAAAGCGUGGGGAGCGAACAGGAUUAGAUACCCCUGUAGUC